UUAAAACAAUUUCAAAACUCCUUUUUUCUCUCCUAUCAUCCCUCUAGGUUUGAUAAUCCAGCAGCUGUAAAUCCAAUUCCCACAAGUGUGCUUUAAAAAAGCUGUCCUGGCUUUGUCUAUCUAUAUAUAUCAUCUUGCAGUGAUCUAUAAGGCAAGAUCAUUCUUAAAAAUGCUUCACAGAAACUGGGACUAGGAAUCUGAAUAUACCUUGUUUAUGUUUAUCUUAAAGGUUGAGGCAUCCAGUUCCAGCUGUUUCUCCAGCAGACCUGUUUCCAUCAUUCUAGACAACUUUUUAAAAACACGAAUGGUUCUCCCAGUAAGACUAUUUUGUUUUAUUCUCUAAUGACUGUUUUGUGGUGCUCUAAGUGCUUGUGUUGAAUCUUUGAAUCCUGCUAUAAAGUUCUAUUGGGAUGUAUGUGAUUCUUUACCUUCAUGAAGACAUAAAGCAGUGAAUUCUCUUUGCUUUUGCUCAUCUAUUCCAAACCUGAACCUCCUCUGAAUUUCAUUUUCAGUUGCUAACUUAAUUCUGGCAUCGGUCAAAAUGAAUUUCUCUUCUCACUGAACCAAGGGUCUUUGGACCUCUCCAUCUCACAAAGUCGCCUGAAAUCUUAGACAUGUCUAUCAUGGGAUACUCCAUGACCAAAGAUCAGGACCAAACAAAUAGUAAAGAGUCAAAGGUGACUGGGGGCCUUGCCUAACUUAGGCCAAUUUUCAUUAGUUGGUUCAUGGGAGACACCAUGAUAUCAGGACAAAGAAGGGCCAAUCCUUCUUCACGUAUAAGUACAGUAACAUAAUGAUACCCAGGGAGUUGAAGCUAAGACAGACCAAGCUAGAAGCUCUUUCUUCUGCAAUUAGCUCACUUCUCUGCCACUGUCACAAUAUGAGAGUAUGAACAAGAAAACACAAAUUUAUUACAUUAUACUAAAACAUAAAAUCCUUUUCACUCUUGAGUCUUUUCAUGACUGAAGACAGGUAAGAAAUGUGUUAUCUCCAAGAGAUCUACAAUAUGAAUUCUUGAAAUUUCUGCAAGUUUUCAGAUCUCAGGGAACACAUUCCCUGGGAUAGUCUCAAUUCUCAAUGCACAACAACAAC
rnacentral:lncRNA from 1 species